rnacentral:rRNA from 1 species
UGAGGGAAAGUUGAAAAGAACUUUGAAGAGAGAGUUCAAGAGUGCGUGAAACUGCUCGGAGGUAAACGGGUGGGCCCUCGAAUGGUCCUCGCCUGGUGGUUCGGUCGGACAGGCGCGAGCUCGACGGUGCGAGGGGAUACCGCGGUGUACCUCUCCGCUUCGCGGUGCUCUCUGUCUUCCGGCGCAUUCCAUCCGGCACGGACGUCGCAGCCGGUUGGUGGUCGGCCAAGAGAGCGGACGACGGAAGGUGGCAGCGGAGUCUCUCCGUUGUGUUUAGCCGGUUCGCUUGUGGCGUGAUCUCCGACCGAGGAUGCGUCUCUUUCUUGAGACAUGCCGUGCUCUCGCUCGUGCGAGCGAGCGGGAUUCCCCGCGGCGAGCGUAGGCGGCUGGCGAUAUCGGUUACCCACCCGACCCGUCUCGAAACACGGACCAAGGAGUCCAACGUGUGCGCGAGUCAGUGGGACUCGAACAAGCCCACGGGCAGAACGAAAGCGAGAUCUGUCGGGAUCCGCACCGMUCGCGGUGCGGCGCACCGACGGCCUGACGCUCGGGCGUCGGAGCAGGAGCGUACACGUCGGGACCCGAAAGACGGUGAACUAUUCCCGGGUAGGAUGAAGCCGGGGGAAACUCCGGUGGAGGUCCGCAGCGGUUCUGACGUGCAAUUCGAUCGUCGAACCCGGG